GGCAGCAGUGGGGAAUUUUGGACAAUGGGGGCAAGCCUGAUCCACACAUGGCGCGUGCGUGAAGAAGGCCUUCGGGUUGUAAAGCCCUUUUGUCCGGAAAGAAAAGCCUCGGGCUAAUACCCGGAGGUUAUGACGGUACCGGAAGAAGAAGCCCCGGCUAACUUCGUGCCAGCAGCCGCGGUAAUACGUAGGGGGCGAGCGUUAUUCGGAAUUACUGGGCGUAAAGCGUGCGUAGGCGGUUUCUUAAGUCAGAUGUGAAAGCCCUGGGCUCAACCUGGGAAAUGCAUUUGAAACUGGCGAGCUAGAGUGCGGGAGAGGGAAGUGGAAUUCCCGGUGUAGCAGUGAAAUGCGUAGAUAUCGGGAGGAACACCAGUGGCGAAGGCGGCCUUCUGGCCCAGCACUGACGCUGAGGCACGAAAGCGUGGGGAGCAAACAGGAUUAGAUACCCUGGUAGUCCACGCCCUAAACGAUGGGAACUAGGUGUUGGGGGCA
rnacentral:rRNA from 1 species